GCUUGGAGAACGGCAUUUCGGAAGGCAGUGGGAGGGGAAGCCCUUCCUAAAGACGUCUCCUGCCCAGGAAAGACCAGCCACGCACCCUGCGCCCCAGCGGUAGGGAGCAGAUUCUACUGGUCCUUCUGUGUACCCAGCACUUCACGGAAGGAGUCCCAUUGAGUCCUUCAGACAGCCCUGUUGAUGUUACCCGCAGUUUACGCGUGAAGAGACGGGCCUGCAGAGUCUAAGUGAUUGGCCCGUGGUCACAUGUGGAAAGCGGCGAAGCCAGUCAGUACUGCUUCUUCCCCACCUAAAACCUUGCCCAGCAAGCUGAAGCUGCAUUCUUGAUCUCCCUAUAGGUGUCAGCAAGAAAGCACAGCAGUCAGAAAUGAAGCCUCCCUCCCGCCCCUGGGAAAUCUGACCUACGUCCAGCUCCAAAGGCUAUUUGGACAACAUAAGCUCCCCUGCCAUGUGUCAUGCCCUGGGGACAAAGAGGAGGCCAUCUGUUUCAUCCCUGGGGGGUCCUGACAGAAAACCCUCUUGCAAAAGACAAGAAGGAAAUAUACCACCUGCUAACAGAAAUGGAGUUGGACAGGGCAGCGUCCAGGGCUGGCUUCGUGGUCGGUGGCACAGGACUCUGCACUUAACAAGGGCAUCGCGAUUGGCCUAAGUCUCCGCUAUCGCUCUUCUGAAAUCCCCGGAAUUCCUCGACAAAGG